rnacentral:rRNA from 1 species
GCUUGUCUCAAAGAUUAAGCCAUGCAUGUCUUAGUGUAAAUAACUCUUAUGAAACUGCGAAUGGCUCAUUAAAUCAGUUAUCAAAUACGUGAUGGUCGCCUACUACAUGGAUAACCGUAGUAAUUCUAGAGCUAAUACAUGCACAAAGGCCCACUCACGUGGGUUGUGAUUAUUAGAUUCAAACCAACAUUUAACCCGGUGAUUCAUAGUAACUCUUUGUUUUCGAACCGCAUGGCCUUGCGCUGGCGGUGCUUCAUUCAAAUUUCUGCCCUAUCAACUUUCGAUGGUAGGAUAGUGGCCUACCAUGGUUUUAACGGGUGACGGGGGAUUAGGGUCUUAUCCCGGAGAGUAUGCCUGAGAGACGGCAAACACAUCCAAGGAAGGCAGCAGG